UGGGGAAUAUUGCACAAUGGAGGAAACUCUAAUGCAGCAACGCCGCGUGAAGGAUGAAGGUUUUCGGAUUGUAAACUUCUUUGAUUGGGGACGAAGAAUGACGGUACCCAAGGAACAAGCCACGGCUAACUACGUGCCAGCAGCCGCGGUAAUACGUAGGUGGCGAGCGUUGUCCGGAAUUACUGGGUGUAAAGGGCGUGUAGGCGGGAGAGCAAGUCAGAUGUGAAAUUCCGAGGCUUAACUUCGGAGCUGCAUCUGAAACUGUUUUUCUUGAGUGCUGGAGAGGAAAGCGGAAUUCCUAGUGUAGCGGUGAAAUGCGUAGAUAUUAGGAGGAACACCAGUGGCGAAGGCGGCUUUCUGGACAGUAACUGACGCUGAGGCGCGAAAGCGUGGGGAGCAAACAGG
rnacentral:rRNA from 2 species